UACGUAGGGUGCGAGCGUUGUCCGGAAUUAUUGGGCGUAAAGAGCUCGUAGGCGGUCUGUCGCGUCUGCUGUGAAAACUCAGGUCUUAACCCUGAGCUUGCAGUGGGUACGGGCAGACUAGAGUGCGGUAGGGGAGACUGGAAUUCCUGGUGUAGCGGUGAAAUGCGCAGAUAUCAGGAGGAACACCGGUGGCGAAGGCGGGUCUCUGGGCCGUAACUGACGCUGAGGAGCGAAAGCAUGGGGAGCGAACAGG
rnacentral:rRNA from 1 species